GGGAAGGCGUUUAGAAAGAAAACAAUGCAGGGUGAUGAGGAAGGGCAAAUUGACAGUAUUUUCAGUAUCAGAGUGAAACUAGGCAAUAGUGGGACUGUGGUGGGAAAAUAGGCAGUCAUGGGAAUUUGCACUUCAACACCAGCUAAUUGUUGCUACAAUUUGGGAUUGUAGGCCCAAUGUUGCCUUAUCUUUUGUUUCUAUUUUUUGAAGGAAAAAAAAGAAAACCAGAGUUUUAUGUGAAUUCUCCUGACUUUCCAUAUUGGCAACUAAUUCAAUGAGAAAAGUAGUGUGGAUCAAAUAAAAUACAUCUGUGGGCCAGAUUCGGUCUUUGGACCAUCACUGUGUAUCCUGUGACUUAGAAUCUGAUGGCAGUCAUCAGCAUCCUGAACAAACUUGUCACACAUGGGCCCCUAUUCCUAAGAUUGGAUGAAAGGAGAAGAAAUGCUUCUCUUGUGAUCUUGGGAGAAGUCGCAGGAACUUUUGGUACCCUAAGUUCACAGUUUGAUGUAUGCACAUGCUUCUGGUGGCGAAUGGAAGAGAGGAGAAAUGUGACGCUUCAGCAGGACAAUAUAUUCAUCUGCUGAUGACUCUGAUGAAACAUACUUCAAAUAUAGCAGAAGUUAAAGAGUCUGUCUGAUGGAG
rnacentral:lncRNA from 1 species